CGGGGAGCAGCAGGCGCGAAACCUUUACACUGCACGACAGUGCGAUAAGGGGACUCCGAGUGCGAGGGCAUAGAGCCCUCGCUUUUCUGCACCGUAAGGAGGUGCAGGAAGAAGGGCUGGGCAAGACCGGUGCCAGCCGCCGCGGUAAUACCGGCAGCCCAAGUGAUGGCCGAUAUUAUUGGGCCUAAAGCGUCCGUAGCCGGCCGGACAAGUCCGUUGGGAAAUCCACGCGCUCAACGCGUGGGCGUCCAGCGGAAACUGUCCGGCUUGGGGCCGGAAGAUCCGAGGGGUACGUCCGGGGUAGGAGUGAAAUCCCGUAAUCCUGGACGGACCGCCGGUGGCGAAAGCGCCUCGGAAGGACGGACCCGACGGUGAGGGACGAAAGCCAGGGUCUCGAACCGGAUUAGAUACCCGGGUAGUCCUGGCCGUAAACGAUGUCUGCUGGGUGUGGCGCAGGCUACGAGCCUGCGCUGUGCCGUAGGGAAGCCGUGAAGCAGACCGCCUGGGAAGUACGUCCGCAAGGAUGAAACUUAAAGGAAUUGGCGGGGGAGCAC
rnacentral:rRNA from 1 species